GAUCCUGGCUCAUGAUGAACGCUGGCGGCGUGCUUAACACAUGCAAGUCGAGCGAAGCACUUAGGAAAGAUUCUUCGGAUGAUUUCCUAUUUGACUGAGCGGCGGACGGGUGAGUAACGCGUGGGUAACCUGCCUCAUACAGGGGGAUAACAGUUAGAAAUGACUGCUAAUACCGCAUAAGACCACAGCACCGCAUGGUGCAGGGUAAAAACUCCGGUGGUAUGAGAUGGACCCGUCG
rnacentral:rRNA from 1 species